GGCGGCCGCCGUCCCGACACCGACAGACAGGAGGGAGCACGGCUGGCUCUCUCCCGCCUGGGGAAGCGGCGGCGGGAUGCGAGUGAACGGCAGCGAGUUGAACGGCACCGUUCUUCCGCGGGACCCGCCGGCCGAGGGCUCCCCGCGCCGUCCGCCCUGGGUCACCUCCACGCUAGCCACCAUCCUCAUCUUCACCAUCGUGGUGGACCUCCUGGGCAACUUCCUGGUCAUCCUCUCGGUGUACCGCAACAAGAAACUGCGGAACGCGGGUGAUCCUUGGACUUAUUUUUGUGUCCUGAGAGAAAAUGGGUAGCCUGACAAGUAUUUGACUCAAGAGAUAACUUACAGAAGAUCAAGUUGUAGCACAAAUUCAGGGUUCUGAUGAAAACUGAGAUGCUGAUGGCAUUAUUUCAGACAUGAAUAACUUCAGGUAUUAAAAAUGGUAAGCCGACUGGGAGGGGAGAAAAUGUCUAGAGGAGACACCAAACCCUGGCAAUUGUUGAACAGAAUGAAGUAUAAAAAUGCAGUUUAAAUAAAGCUGUUUCUCAGAGUGGUUUUGAUGAAUAAUUUACUGAAUCAAGGGUUUUCCAGAAAACUGUUUAAAUGGCACCAUCCUAUCAGUGACCAAAGAUAGAGAUGAAUUUUUCAAAUAAUUAAUAUUCCAUUCUUACUAAUAUAUCUGUCAAAGCCAACCAUGAAUGCCUUCUGCAACUUUCUGCAUUUGUAAGUUUUUCAUGGUACUGCUUCUUCUGGUUUGCUGCUGCCAGUGCUUGCUUACAUACUGUACUGUUUUCUGACCAUUUUUAGUUGUUUUUGAAGGGGUUCUCCUUCCUCUUAAUUAAGAUGGUUUUACAUCUUUAAUCUCUUCAUUAUCCAUUUUGUAUCUGCUUCUACUCUUAUUCCUUUUUUAUCUCUUUUUUUAUUUGUUGCUUUCCUAUCCUGUUACUGAUACUUCAAGUGUUUCUAGCCAAAGCCAUAAGCAGCAAGUCUAGUUUGUUGACAGUAUUGCUACUGAUGAUGGGCUUCCAAUGCUAAUAGGACAGUAUCCAGCCUGUUUGUAUAAUAAGGUUGGUAGGAUGAUAACAAUUGCUGUAGUAGUGUUAUGCAUUACAGUCUAAUUCUGCAACCUGAGUAAAAAUGUUGGCACCCUUGCUGUUGAUAGUUUUUUCUUCUCAUAAUGGUGAGCUGCCUCAAAUUCCACAUUAACUUUGCACUCCUAGUAGUGAUUCCCAAUUUCUGUUUCAGGAAGAUGAGUGUUACUAAGAAUUCUUCAGGAUAACAGAACACGACUUCAAUGUUUGCUUAUUUAAUUUAAAAAAACAAAAACAUAUUUAACGUAUAGCUAAAAAUGCUUGACAUAAUAAUAUAAAUACUGCUACUUGAAGUUCUCUUUCAAAAUCUUCCGAAGCCACAGAGGCAGCAUUACAGCUGAGCAGGAUGAGUAAGGUUCUUCCCUUACUAUAGGUUCCUAUUAUCCUCUUUCCUCCAUUAGUUUUAAGGAUGGAUAUGACAUAUCAAAUCAAUACAUACUUUAAAGCCUUGAAUUCCUACAGUAAACGAACUUUAACCUAUUCUACAAGUAGAUCCAAAACUGAGAUGUAAACAGCAAGUCUGUUUAUAGCUCUGUUAAAUAAUGACUUCUGUUGUUUCUAAAUGGUUUUGUAGCAAUAAAUGACCAAUAAAUGUACAAAGCUUCAUGUCCUAUAGAUUUUUUUUUAAAGCAUUCAUUACCCUUAAAGAGAAGGCAGACUUCCCUCGAAGAAACACCUUGCACCAGAAGUAAAAUAUUGCAAACUCAUUUUCUUUUUUUUCUUUUCUUUUCUUUUUUUUUAAAUAAAUGACCUAACAAGGUACAAGGUCAUGCAGUAUUCUAGUUAUAGAAGAAUAGUUAUUACAUUAUUGACUUUGUUCUAUUUGGAAAGGAUAUGUAACUGUUCCAUUUAAUUUAAUGGAAAUACCAUUCUACAUGAGCUACUUAAAUUUCAGCAAAAACGUAGGAGCAAAAUAUAAGCUCUAGUUAUCACAAUGACUUUGUUUUCUGAGGUGCAGAUGCAAGGUUAACAAAACCAACUGCUUCUCAGUUAGCCCCUGUGCUGGCAAAGAUCAUUUCCUCUCUUGUUGCUUGGUAAUUUGUGAGAUCAGUAACAUUGCUUUUGUUAGUAGCCCACUCCUGCUGAAUUUGAGUAUCAGUUUCAUUUUACAGUGCAGCAGUAAGUACUAUCAUAUAAUCUAGAUGAGACAGCAGAUUCUGUAGCCAUUGGCCAAUGUAAUGAAUGGGUAUGAAUACAAGAACCAGUUUUGAAAACUGGUAUCCAGUUACAUUGUGGAGAAGUUCCAUUAGCUGUGUCUUGUAUGCUUUUGGGAGGGAAAAGUCAUGGAUGUUCUUCCAAAAGCACCUCCCCUGCCCUCCAGUGGUAGUAGCUAUGGAUUUCAUUUGAUGUAUACCUCUUUAGCUUUAGAUGAGAAAUUUUUUAACUCCUUAGUCUUACCUGAUGCUUAAGGACAUGUUCCUCUCCUUGUCUGUGUUGGGAAGCAAAGAGGGGAUUUCAUUCUCAGCUGUGAGAGAGUAUUCGUAGCCUAAUACAGGUAUUGUAUGGACAGCUUCAUUUUAGAAAUACUGAAAGAAAGAUAACAUUUGGUGUGAGUUUCUCUCUCUCUUUGCCACUUCUGUCAAGUAUGAGAAAGCCAUUUGUGAAAUGAAGAAUUGCAAUGCCUUUUUGUCCUCAUUCAAGCACUCUUAGAAUACUUUUUUUCUUAAGUAACAAAUCCACAUAUUUAUUUUCAAAGACUGGAUUUUACUGAAAAUUUGGGAGCUUUGUAUUAUGAAAUACUGAUGUCUGCAUAAAUGUAAAUGAACUGGUAACUUGUAUUUUUAUUUCAUUUUGGAUUAAGAACUAAUUACCUAUAAAUAAAAAAAAUCCUGUUUUUAUUAACAGCUUAUGUGUAUUUUGCAUUCAUAUGUGCUAUCUUAAUUUUAAUGUAAAUAAUAGUAUUUCUCCAGAUCAUCUCUGGCUAUGUAAUUCUAGUGUCUGCCUUUUAUAGAGAACUUAUUUAACUUUCAGGUUCACAUCAUUUUAAUAUUUUUUUUUUUUUACAAAACCGGGGUUCUUUCCUCAAAUUUCCAUUAUGGCAUAUUAAAUCUUCCAACCUUUCCUGAGUCUCGGUUACUGAAUCAGUUCCCAUUUGCAGUAGAGGAUUGAAAGGGACCUUCUGGAUGAAGUCCGAUUUCCAGGGGUACUAAACAUUCACACAAAUCCUUUUAGAAUCUGUCUUCACCUUAAGUUACAGCUACUUCUUUAUUAUAUUAUAUGGCAUUCUGAAUACCUAAAUGUAUUUUUUUGUAUUUUGUAUAACUGUCCUACACUUACUAAAUAUGUUAUGCAUAACAUUGCUUAGCAUCUCUCUAUUCUUGUAACAAAGAGGAAGAAUUAAAAAAUGUCCUAUCUUGGCUCUUGUUUGAGCUUUCUAACCCAAGUCAAAUAUCAAAUUUUUAGUCCUUUGGCAAGAUAACCUUUUCUCUUCUGUGACUGCACUGCCUGAGGAGUGUGCCUCAUCUCUAGAAUAUACCUUCCCUAAGAGCAAAAUCCUGAUUGUACUGUUAUCAAUUAGCAAACCUCUUACCAAGGUCAGUACUAGUCUCCUUUCACUUGUUUAGCUGCAACACUUGCCCAAGGGUAAUUAGGCUGCUAUACUGUUAACAUUCUUAAACUUGAAGAGCUGUAAGCACUUUAAUGUAAGAGAUAUUAACUUUCCUCUCUGUAGCUAACUUCAGACCAAAAUCCAAAGAUGUAGGCUAUGUUUACUUCUUUCUCUGAAGCUGAAUAUGUUUUAAAAUUCUGCUGUUACUCUGGAUAUUGCCUUUAGCCAAGGUCUCUAGUGAAGUCCUUUAUACAGAGAAAUUCAUUAAAUGUUUCAAAAACUAUGGAGUCAGAACAGGACUGCUGGAUCACCAAAUUCCUUGAAAUAAAGUUUAUUACUGAUCAGAGUCAUUGUAUCAUAAGUGCCUGAACAACAGUGUUUUCAUGUAUUUCCUUCACCUAGAUAGAGGUAUAAAGUAGAACAGCUUCAAUGUUUUUGUAAUUUAUGCUCACUGAUGUGACUUCCGCAGCACUUUUGUAUUGGUGUCAUCUGAACACAGCUUUUACUGACAAGCUCAUUCUGUCUAUUCUUCAUUAAGGCAUUAAAGACUAUCUGGUAGUGGUUUCAGUCUGGCUGAGUAUAGUAGCUUUUUAUCUCCUCUGUAUACAGGUAAGUACUGAGAAGUCAGUAGAAUCAACUUUAUUUCUUAAAUACAAAUUUGUCUUAAUUUUUGUUAAAUAAGUAGAUUCAAAAUGCAGUUUUCUUCCUCUUUCUUGCAGGAAUGGUUUUCAAACAUUGUUUUUAGCAAAUAAUUGGGCAUUUAUUUUGCAGUUUCUCUUAGAAAUCUGUCAUUAUCCUAUCCCUGUUUUUUUCAGAUCUUUUCCUGAUUCUUUUUUCUCUUUCCC